CGGUGUCUUCUAGAGAGAAGGAAGUGCAUCCAGGGCGCAGCCCGAAUGCCUCCACAUCCACCAGGGGACCGCUGGGACUAAUUCUCUUGGCAAACUUGUGGCCAGCCAAAGCUACCAUGCUUCACAUCCCCGUUAUUUUUGGUUACCGCCGAAGAUUGGCUUACAGAAGAGAUGAAAUGUGGUCUGAAGGACGAUAUGACUAUGAAAGACUUCCAAGAGAACGAGUACCUCCUCGAAAUCACCCCAGUGAUGGCUACCAUAGAGUAGUUAAUAUUGUGCCAAAGAAACCAUCACUGCUAGACAGACCUGGUGAAGGAAGCUACAGUAGAUAUUACAGUCAUGUUGAUUACCAAGAAUAUGACGAGGGCCGCAGUUUUUCUCAUGAUCGAAGAAGUGGUCCACCUCACAGAGGAGAUGAAUCUGGCUAUAGGUGGACAAGAGAUGAUCAUUCUGCCAGUCGACAGCCUGAGUACAGGGACAUGAGAGAUGGCUUUAGAAGAAAAAGUUUCUAUUCUUCCCAUUACACGAGAGACCGGUCUCCUCAUAAAAGAGACACUCCUUUUUUCAGAGACUCACCUGUAGGUCGGAAGGAUUCUCCACACAGCAGGUCUGGCUCCAGUGUCAGUAGUAGAAGCUACUCUCCAGAAAGAAGCAAAACGUACUCUUUCCAUCAAUCUCAACAUAGAAAGUCCAUCCGUGCUGGUGCCUCCUACAAACGGCAGAAUGAAGGAAAUCCAGAAAGAGGUAAAGAGAGACCUGUUCAGUCUUUGAAAACAUCAAGAGACACUUCACCCUCAAGUUCUUCAGCAGUUCCUCCGUCAAAGGUGUUAGACAAACCCAGUAGGCUAACUGAAAAGGAACUUGCUGAGGCUGCAAGCAAGUGGGCUGCUGAGAAGCUAGAGAAGGCAGAUGAGAGUAACUUACCUGAAAUUGAGUAUGAGGCAGGAUCCACAGCACCAUUGUUUAUUGAGCAGCCAGAGGAACCUGAGUCAAAUGCAACAGAUGGCAUAGAAUUAUUUGAAGACAGUCAACUAAACAGUCGCUCUAAAGCAAUAGCAUCAAAAACCAAAGAGAUUGAACAGAUUUACCGACAAGACUGUGAAACUUUCGGGAUGGUUGUGAAAAUGCUGAUUGAAAAAGAUCCUUCAUUAGAAAAGUCUGUACAAUUUGCAUUGAGACAGAAUUUACAUGAAAUAGGCUUAAAGUAUUUUCCUGAAAUGUAGACUUUUAUUACUCUCUACUGCAAGAAUACUCAAUGUUCAGUUUACCUACUCAGCAGCAGGAUGGAAGAACUGAGAAACCAUUAACUUUGGUGACUUAAGGUGUCUUGAUAUCUGAGCAAGCAAUUAAAUGAGAUAAGAUUGAGCACACAGAAGUGCUCAAUAAUUGUGUUAUUACGAAUCUAAGUUUCAGAAAUAGUAGGAUUAAAAUCCUAUCUCUGUAUAGUAACCUCUGGAGGAACCACAUCUUUGUGACCCAAUUCCUAGCACAGUUUGGAAUGUUGUAUGUACUUGUCUUCAUUGACACUUCACAAAAGAAGUGACAUUUGACUCCUAGGUCUUGGAGGACUAGGACUUUCAGGCAGAGAAGGGGACGUAAUAGAAGUCUAGGAAGAGGGGAAUGGUAUAGGGAAAGAUACAGGCCUGUAUGACUGAAGCUGGUUGGGAAAGAUGAUGGGCAACAAAUGUAGGAAAAGAUAGGUUGACAGCAGAAUGAAUGAUUCUGAGUGCUUGUAGCUUUAUCCUUUCUCUCCUAAUUAUUCAAGAAUAACAUUUGAAAAUACUACCUUUGAAAAUAUUACCUUUAUGUUUAUUUUUGCCAAAUAUAUUGAUUUCUCACAGCCCCUCAGCCACUUAGCAACUGAGCCGGUUUAUAGACCCAGAACCUCUUGAAGAAAGGGGAAGCUGACUCCCCUUCAGAAAGGGCUCCGCAUGCACUGCCCAAAUAUUAUACACUGGUUUCAGCUUCAUUUCAGAAUUGCCUGCAAGGGAACCUAAACUCCAAAGAAAGCUGUAACAGUUCUUUGGUGCAACUUUGGAGAUGAUGAUCUUGUCAUCCCUGAAGUAUUCAUGGUGGACAGUAUUCAGUGUUGAGGGCAGCCGGCCCCCCAGGUGACUUUAUAACUGUAACACUGCUCAGCCUGGCACCUGGAGCUCCUGUGAGUAAUGGCCACACUCUGCUGGCCAGACCAAGGUUUGCGGGUGAUACACAAUACAUUUACCAUCUCCUUCCUGCCUGUUCUCUUGAGAGCACUGAUGUUACUCAAUUCAGUGGGGGGAAAAAAAGGUGGCGGCUGAAGGAAUGACUAGUAACUAAGGCAGUUAGCAGAAUCUUUUCUGCCGCUUUUCAUGGUAAUGGAGUUGAAAUAGAGUCACAUGACUGCCUCAUUAGGACUACAUUUGCUAUAUUCCCCUUUGCAGUUAGGUGUGACCAAGUGACUAAGUCCAUUCCUAUGGAGUUUGAGUGGAAGUAUUUCUCUUAUGAGCUGGGACCCUUAGGACAGUAGAUAGGCUCCUUUGUGCUCUCUUUUCUCCCUUCCCCAAAGUAGUCAUGGGUACUCAGCCUUGAUUUGUUGCAGAGCCACAAGAUGGAAGGAACUUGGAUCCCUGCAUGACCACAUAGAAUACCGAACUGUUAUGUGACAGAGAAGAAUAAAUGCCCUCGUUGUUUAAGCCACAUUAUUGGUUUUUUCUUAGCAGCUCACCUUUUGUUCAAAUUAAUGUAAAUGGUAUUUGAGGGUUGGCUUCACUGAACUUGGCUCUCAGGAGGCUGUACCAGUCCUGCCUUUCCAUUGUAAUAACUGAUCUUGGGGUAAUGGGGACCCUUUAUGUAAAAGGCUUUGUCAGUCCACUGAGUUAAUUCCAAGUUGUAUUUAAAAUCUCACUUGAUGACAAGUGUCAUUAAAGACUGAUGCACGUUUGUGUAGCGGCAGAGGCAGCCUGAUGACACAGCACAUCAUUGUUUGAGCUCUGUUCCCAAAGAUGAAUAGUGUUUCUAAUGUUAGACCAUUAUCACUAAAAUUGUAUAGGGUUUUAAAGUUUUUUUCAUGUGUAUGUGUGAGUGAAAAGGUAGAGGUUUACUGAAAUAAGAACAUUUGAGAACAUAUAAGAUAGAAAGUAACCACAACAUCCACGGACAUUUGCUGCAAGGGGACAUCUGAGGUAUGUACCCACUACUUAGGCUGCCCAUGUGCUAGCACAUUUUUCCUAGUUGGAAUACAUAGAAGAUAGGGAGGGGACAGAGCUGCCCUGGCUACUGACCAUACAACCUGCAGGUCUGCACCUUCAGGAAAGUUCCUCUUGCCCAGGGCCGACUUCCUGGGGGCACUUGCUGGUACCCCCAUUCUUGGUAGAGAGGUGGAGAUCGUACUGUUAUUGGGGACAGUGAGCAUUCACUGAGUGGGUAAGUCUGGGCAAGCUACCUGGGGAAAGGGAGAGGAUCCAAUGACCAGAAAAGUGCGCAGUCCCAUCAUCCUCCCAAGUGGGAAGACUCCUAUCCUUUGUGAUCAAACCCGUGAGAAAGACACACUGGCCAGAUGUCUGCAACACCUUCAAGUGGGCCCAGCACCAGCCAGCUGGGUUCCUCUCUGGCACCAGAUCCCAGGUGCCGUUCUCUGCCCGCACCCUAUGCUUGCCUGGUGGGGAAGGUGGGGAAGGCUUCUGAAGCCAGAAUAGGGUCAGCCUCCAGUAGAUGGGAAAGUAUGUGUGUGUUGUGUGUUGUGGAGGGUUGGGGGAGGGGAGAGAGAAAAUGCAGUUCAACAGCACUGUAGCUUACCAGGCUGGGGUAUCUGUUUUGUGCUCAAGCUUUUGAUUUCCUCCCCUCUCCUUUUCUAGAUAGGACUGAACAUUAGCAACCUGAGGGCUCCUGCUGGCAUGCCCUCCCACCACAGCCUGACGACACCAUAGUGGGUGGUGGUCUGUGAACACUGCAGGGCUUACUCGUUUGAGAGGAAUGAUGCUGCUCAGAAUUUAUGUGCAGAUGUGCCAGUGCAGGAUAAGGGAUCUAUGAGGAAUUCAAGUCCAUCACUAAGGGCCUGGGUACAGGGCUUGGCCUCCUGCGGCUGAUGAGAAGACCCGCUGAGCCAAGGCAGCAGAACUGCAAGCCUUCGGACAGCGAGCAGCUGGCUGCUAAACUGCUCUUCGGGAAUGUAAUUUGUAGCAACAAUUAGGAGCAUCAUAAAUUAUGUACCAUAAAAGGUGCACCUUUAGUGCUACUCUUCCUCAGCCGCUCUCCCUAGGGUCAGCCAAGGAGGAGUGCCAGAGGGCGCCGCCGAUGACCACACAAGCUGUGGGACGGCACCCCGAACCCCGCCACUCCGCAAACACGCUGCCUCUGUCCGCUGGAGGUCACACGUUACAAACACAAGAGCUGGUUUGUUAAGCUCUGUCAACGCUCCCUUAUCGGGGUCUCUCAAGCAUCAGCUUUCUUUGCUUCCGUGGGUGUUAUUUUCUAAGUACCUGGAGUCCAUUUCCCCAAUGAAACUGGAGGGAGCCACACGGAGCCGUACUUGGUCACUCUAAGAGGACUUGAUUUUUGUUUGGGGUUUCUUCUGUUGUAUUGAAAGGACAGCCCUUGGUGAGUCCUGCUGACUACGCUGCAGCGCCGAGAGAGAACGAAAGCGACUCCCCGGGAGAGGAGAUGGGGGAAUCAGGGCCCUGCCUGCUUCAGUAGCGGAGUUUCACCCAAAACCUGAAAGAAGGGGUUUUCUCCUAGAGGGCAACUUGUCAAAAUACUGCUUUCCUAACCUGGGUUCCAGGCUGCGGCCCUCUCUCCCCGUUGUAUCGGCCACAGAAGCCCUUCCAGCUCGAAGUGCUUACUUACUGAGGAACAGCCACGUGUGCGCGGGGCAGGCCGUGUGUGACUGGGGAGCCCCUGUUCUCCGAAGAGCUCCCCACCAUCACUCAGAAGCAACGGCAUACCCGACUGGCACCUGUUACUUCGAACUAUGGCUUCACCCUGACAUGAAUGUCUGUCACCAGCAAUGUUUAGUAAGCUCAUUAUAAGGAUAUUGGGAAAAUAAAAAUAUGCAUAUACUUAAAAUAACAAUAGAGACAAAGCACAAAAUCAGCUUCCUCCUCCCCCCCAGUCCGCACUGUGGGGACAGGUUCUUUUAUGUGUAAGGUUAUCAAAGGUCAAAUGACUAAGCAGUAACACUUCAGAUGGUUUCUUACAGCUCUGUAUUUCUUCUUCUCCAAAGCAAAAGCGUUGCUGAGAACUGGCAUGGAAACAUUCCUCUUUCCUUUUAUUACCUUUUUGUUGUUACUGUUUUUUCAAAGGUUAAAUUCCUCUCACUCUCCAAAGAGACUUGUCAGAUAUCCACAUAACAAAUGCAUGAACAGUGCUCUGGAUGUCAUUCAUGAGAGCAAAAAUAGCAUCACUGUAGGACUUCUGGAUCCAGGAGUACAAAAGGACUGAAAACUUUCAUGGAGAAAUUAAGGAUGACCUUAAAAGGCAAAAAUUUACACUAUCCAAA